rnacentral:rRNA from 1 species
GACGAACGCUGGCGGCGUGCUUAACACAUGCAAGUCGAACGGAAAGGCCCUGCUUUUGUGGGGUGCUCGAGUGGCGAACGGGUGAGUAACACGUGAGUAACCUGCCCUUGACUUUGGGAUAACUUCAGGAAACUGGGGCUAAUACCGGAUAGGAGCUCCUGCUGCAUGGUGGGGGUUGGAAAGUUUCGGAGGUUGGGGAUGGACUCGCGGCUUAUCAGCUUGUUGGUGGGGUAGUGGCUUACCAAGGCUUUGACGGGUAGCCGGCCUGAGAGGGUGACCGGCGAGAUGGGGGCGGAGGGAGGGCGCAGAGGCCUGGGGGGGGGAGCGGUGGGGAGUGGUGGGCGAGGGGCGGGAGCCUGGUGCAGCAGCGCGGGGUGCGGGAUGACGGCCUUCGGGUUGUAAACCGCUUUCGCCUGUGACGAAGCGGGAGUGACGGUAAUGGGUAAAGAAGCACCGGCUAACUACGUG